ensembl:snoRNA Small nucleolar RNA ZL1
GGAGAAGCAAAGUGAUGAGCAUUACUAGCUGGAGCUCCAAAGAGGCACGCGCGUGCGUGGGAGUAUGUGUGUGUGGGUGUGUGUUUCCUUGUCUGUGCAUGCACACGUGUGUCUGGGAGUACGAAUGCGUGCGACUGGUUGUAGGGAACUAGUUAUGUGCCUCCUUUUGGACCAUGACAGUUAAACUGAUAAGAUCUGAUUGCUUC